rnacentral:rRNA from 1 species
CACGUAGGGUGCGAGCGUUGUCCGGAAUUAUUGGGCGUAAAGAGCUCGUAGGCGGUGUGUCGCGUCUGCCGUGAAAACCUGCAGCUUAACUGUGGGCUUGCGGUCGAUACGGGCAUCACUGGAGUUCGGCAGGGGAGACUGGAAUUCCUGGUGUAGCGGUGAAAUGCGCAGAUAUCAGGAGGAACACCAGUGGCGAAGGCGGGUCUCUGGGACGAUACUGACGCUGAGGAGCGAAAGCGUGGGGAGCGAACAGG